rnacentral:tRNA from 1 species
GUUUUUAUAGUUUAUUAUAAAACAUUGGUCUUGUAAACCAAAAAUAAGUAUUUUCUUUAAAAACU